rnacentral:lncRNA from 1 species
UGCUCACUGUUGCAAUCUUUUCUGUUAUUUUCUUGAAUUUCCAAAGUUCCAAAAAAGAGCAAGUUUAUCAAAAGUUUAUCAAAUGGGAAUGAGAAGAAACUUACUGGAAGAAAAGAUGCAGUGGCCGAAGAUUGUGAAAAGAGGGUAUCAUUUUCAGAUAAUGAGCCCGGUAUACGUGACACCAGCAAUAGCUUUCUGAAAUCACGGAAGCUUUCUCCUUCUAUUGAGGAAGUAGAUGAAGAUUUUGGAGAAGACCUCCAGUUCCCGCAGCUUCAUGGUGUUUCUGUCUCUUUAAGCAAAGAUAGUUUGGAAUCAAAUGAUUCAGUUGUUGCUUUGGGACCCAGUGAGAAUAUUUUGGGAGAUGGAUUGGAUACUUUGGAAGAAGAAGAAGAAAAGAAGAAGUUUUUUGCUGACCUUGAGAAAGGAGCAUCCUCUACCAUAGACUACUCAAAAUUAAAUAAGGAACUAGAUUCUAAUGAUUCUGAAAUCCUGCACACCUUUUUAUGGUAAAGUAAACAAAGAUAACAAUGGUAGUUAUACAUUGAAUUGCAGUAGCUUGGAAAUAUAACAA